GCACGACUUUAGUGGUUCUCAAAUUAAAGUGCAGUGCCUCCGCUACGGUUACAUUCAUCCUUCCUCGUUCCAGUGUUUGGUCCGACUGGACUUUAAAGUUAAUGAUUGUAGCUGGCAUGUGCUAAAAAGCUUGCUCCACAUUUCUCCUAAUCUAGAAAUUCUUUUUGUUACUAAGGUUAGUUUAGCUAAUACUUAAUACAAGUAUUUUAGUUGUCCAACACCAUAAUUACACUUUUGAGCUGCUUUUUGUUGUCAUCAGAGUCGUUGUUUCCUUAUAUAUGUUGGAGGGAGCAACCAAAAUAUCCUUUAUCAUCUGUCAUCUCACCUUACAAGUGUUUGUUAUAGUGGAUUUGAAGGUUUGGAAUAUGAACUGGAAUUCAUAGAUUCUGAACAAGGCAAUAGUCUUGAAGACAAUGAAAGUACAAGUUUCUGAUAGAGAGUCGAAGGAAAGUGUUCUUGAGGAACUAUCAAUGUUUCCAAGGUGCUCAAAGACAUGUCUACUUACAUUUGAAUGAGGUACACUUCUAUUACCGGUACUCAACAAUUUAUUAGCAACUAAUUCCAAAGGCAAUGUUACAACUAUUUUAUUUUUAUUAUAGACCCCCUGCAGGUGGUAAUUAAACUGUUACUACUCUUUUUUGAUUGUUAAUGAAAUUUUUCUGUUUGGCCCUUAUUUGAAUUAAUUGAUGGGAAGAGAGGGAGUAGAUCAAUUUUAUCCAAUGUUUUCUUACGUUCUUUUAUUUAUUUAUUUUUAUUUAUAAAUGAGUAACAUAACUUUAUUGAUGAAAAGAAAAUCCCAAAUACACAAGUCGUAUACAAUGGGUACACAAUCAAGUUCUGAAAUUACAAUAGUCAAUCAUUUCAAGGAGAGAAGUAAAGAAAAAGUGGUGCAGGGAAAUUAGCUGGCUGCUGUUUUGCUUUGGAAAUGAAUAAGGAUUGUGAGUUGAUUAGAGUAACCUAUGGGUGGAUAAGCAGCUCUGCAUGAACAUAGUUCCAAGAAAACCUCUCAAAGCUUAUUGCAUUCACAAAUUCAAGUCACUGAUCACUAUUACAAGGGAAUUGCUAUUUAUACAAUCUGUUGGUGUUAAGGCUAAGAACUAACUCGAAGUGAGACUAAAUAUUAUUGGUUAAUGCUUAACUUAUAGCUAACACACUAACUAACUAAGUGGAUCUAAUUGGGUGCUGGUACUAUAACUUCCUCAAGCUGGCUGUUUGGUUACAAGUCUUAACAAAUUUGAACUCUUUUAACAAACUGUUACAGCAGAGAACUCCAGCUUUCCAUGCUCCCACCAGUUACUUCUAACUGACUUGGGAUUGCUUUAGAAACUUAGUUAACCAUCUUAUCUUGAUCCUGGUUGGCUGCUGGAAAUGUUAGAUCACACUAGAGUAGGCUGCUGCUCUUACUGAACUAAGUUACUAACUGUCUGCUCAACUAAGCUGCUGCAACUUAUACUAGCUGCUGCAUCAAGCUUGUCUGGUUGUUACUGACUUGUACCAAGGCUGCUAGUGUAAACAACCAUUUUGAUGCUCUUGCAUAAAAAAGGAAUCCUAAGUUAGCUGCCAAUGAAAUAAAGAAUUAUAGAAAAAAAAUUAAGGUCGAGAAUACUCUGUUCACAGCCCUUGAAGCUUCUAGCAUUUUGUUCCUGCCAAAUGCACCUUAUUGAACAAUGAGGCACAACUUUCCAAAUUGCUAUAUUCCAAUGAUGACCAAACUGAACUUGCCAAGAUGCUAGCAUAUCCAAAAGUCUCUGCAGCAUAACCCAGUGAACUCAAAAAAACCAAAGCCAUAAUCUGUUGCUAUAGGGAAAUGAAGUAGUAAAUGGUCCAUAGUUUCCCCAUUACACUUACACAUAUAACACCAAUCUACCACAAUAAUGUGUCUCUGCAAAUAAUCGAUGGUCAGGAUUUUUCCCAAAGUGCAUCUACUAAAAGAAAGCAACUCUAGCAGAAGCUGCGGAACCUUCGUUCUCUAAAUAAUUUUCCAAGGAAAAGGCAUGGAAAUGUUAGUCAUUAAUAAACGAUAAUAACCACAUACUUCAAUCAUAUUAACGAUGGUUUUGGAAAAGGCAUGGCAAUUUUUUUUGUGAAAUCCUAUUAUAAAAUUAUUACAAAUGGUGGAGAUCAUUCUUUCCCUUGGUGAAUGGUGAAGCAUGUGGAAGGCGAGAGUUCCUUCAAGGGUGGUGUUUUUUUACUUGGACUGCAACUAAGGGGAAGAUUCUUACCCUUGAUACUUUGAAAAGGCGGAAUAUUUGUUUGGUCAAUUGGUGUUGUAUGUGCCAAUGCAGUGAGGAAUCUGUGGACCACUUACUUAUUCAUUGCACUCAGGUGUCUAGUCUAUGCUCUUUGGUUUUCUUUUUGUUUGGUGUUUCUUGGGUGAUACCUAUGCAUGUGGUGGAGUUGUUAGCGUGUUGGAAAGCUGGUUUUGGGUGCUGUUUGGCUGCAGAUAUCUGGUGGGCAAUUCCACUUUGUCUUAUGUGGAACAUUUGGAGAGAGCGGAGCCUGUGUACCUUUGAGGGGAAAGAGCAUUCCAUCCUGGAUUUGAAAAUAUUUUUCUCCUUUUCAUUGUGCGAUUGGAUGUCUGUGAGUUGUAGUUUGCUGCAGUUAUCAAGGAAACAAGUAUGGGAUCAUGAUUUUGGCAAGGUACAUUGGUAUUUAUGAUUGAAAUAUCUAAUUAUUUUGUAGCUAUUGUUGGUGUCUCUUAGUUUGUUUGUUGUGGCUGGUUAAGUUGGAGAUAGACAGGUCCACUCUCCAAUUCCAAGACCAUCUAAGAGAAGGGAAGUUCUGUUUGCUCCAUUGGCAUCCCUUGUUUCAUAGACUUGGGAUCUGAAACUUUUCUGUUGAGGGUAAUUAUAAAAAAUCUCAAAUUUGGCAUAAUUUCAAGGAUUGAAUUUUUAUAUGUAAGAGAUAGUUGAAGUUUGUAUUAUUAUUUUUAAUUAAUA